GCUGCAUUCACCAGGCUGAUGUGAAGUCAGCUUGCAGUCAGCACUUCCUCAUUUUGAAGCUGUGUAAAUGAGUCACUGUAUUAAGGGAAGAUGUCUUCUGCUGCAAGGAAUAGGAAGUGGUGGCUGGCUGUUGUGGAUGCUGUGGUGGGCUUUGCUCUCAUCAGUACUGAAGCACUUGCUUCCCCAGUGUCUGGGAGUGUUGCUCACUUUGGCUCUUAGUUAAGUUCUUCUUUGGAAUUUGCCUUUUUUGUAUAAUGG
rnacentral:lncRNA from 1 species